rnacentral:rRNA from 1 species
UUUAAAUAGCCGCAGUAUUUUGACUGUGCGAAGGUAGCAUAAUCAUUUGUCUUUUAAUUGAAGGCUUGUAUGAAUGGUUGAAUGAGGGAAUAACUUUCUUUAUAUUAAAUAUUGAAUUUAAUUUUUAAGUCAAAAAGCUUAAAUUUUUUAAUGGGACGAGAAGACCCUAUAGAAUUUUAUAGUUAUAAAUGUUUUUGUAUUUUGGUUAUUGUAUACUAUAAUAUUAAUAACUAUUUUGUUGGGGUGACAGUGGAAUUUUUUUAACUUCUAUAUUUUAUUAAUUGUUAAUAUACAUAUUUAUGAUCCUUAAUUUAGGAUAAUUAGAUUAAUUUACCUUAGGGAUAACAGCGUAAUUUUUCUGGAGAGUUCUUAUUGAUAGAAGAGUUUGCGACCUCGAUGUUGGAUUAAAAUUAGAUUUAAGUGCAGAAGCUUAAU